rnacentral:rRNA from 1 species
GCUUGCACUCCUGAUGGUUAGCGGCGGACGGGUGAGUAACACGUAGGCAACCUGCCCCACAGACUGGGAUAACUACCGGAAACGGUAGCUAAUACCGGAUAAUUCCUUUUGGCUCCUGCCAAGAGGAUGAAAGACGGAGCAAUCUGUCACUGCGGGAUGGGCCUGCGGCGCAUUAGCUAGUUGGUGAGGUAACGGCUCACCAAGGCGACGAUGCGUAGCCGACCUGAGAGGGUGAACGGCCACACUGGGACUGAGACACGGCCCAGACUCCUACGGGAGGCAGCAGUAGGGAAUCUUCCGCAAUGGGCGAAAGCCUGACGGAGCAACGCCGCGUGAGUGAUGAAGGUUUUCGGAUCGUAAAGCUCUGUUGCCAGGGAAGAACGUCCGGUAGAGUAACUGCUACCGGAGUGACGGUACCUGAGAAGAAAGCCCCGGCUAACUACGUGCCAGCAGCCGCGGUAAUACGUAGGGGGCAAGCGUUGUCCGGAAUUAUUGGGCGUAAAGCGCGCGCAGGCGGCUAUUUAAGUCUGGUGUUUAAACCAUGGGCUCAACCUGUGGUCGCACUGGAAACUGGGUGGCUUGAGUACAGAAGAGGA